UCUGACACACACGGGCUAUUUUCUUCGACAGUUAGCCUCUCUGAGGCUCAGUUUCCACAAGGACCCGGGGAAAAGCUCCUUAGUUAUGAUGGAAGUCAGUGAGACGAAGAUUGCAAAGCCCCCCACACAGCGCCUGGCCAAGAGCAGACCUCCACUGGUGCAGAAUGGAUAUCAUCAUGUCACAGACUCAGGCAAGCCUGGUUCUGGCAGUCCCUACUGUCUGAUGGAGGAAGGUCCCAAGAAGGCCAUAAUCAGCCAUGGUCGUAAUCAGCAAUAGGAAUUUGCUUGUC